GAUGAACGCUGGCGGCGUGCCUCAUACAUUCAAGUCGAGCGAACAGACGAGGAGCUUGCUCCUCUGACGUUAGCGGCGGACGGGUGAGUAACACGUGGAUAACCUACCUAUAAGACUGGGAUAACUUCGGGAAACCGGAGCUAAUACCGGAUAAUAUAUUGAACCGCAUGGUUCAAUAGUGAAAGACGGUUUUGCUGUCACUUAUAGAUGGAUCCGCGCCGCAUUAGCUAGUUGGUAAGGUAACGGCUUACCAAGGCAACGAUGCGUAGCCGACCUGAGAGGGUGAUCGGCCACACUGGAACUGAGACACGGUCCAGACUCCUACGGGAGGCAGCAGUAGGGAAUCUUCCGCAAUGGGCGAAAGCUUGACGGAGCAACGCCGCGUGAGUGAUGAAGGUCUUCGGAUCGUAAAACUCUGUUAUUAGGGAAGAACAAAUGUGUAAGUAACUAUGCACGUCUUGACGGUACCUAAUCAGAAAGCCACGGCUAACUACGUG
rnacentral:rRNA from 1 species